rnacentral:rRNA from 1 species
UUCGAACGCACAUUGCGGCCCUAG